GGGAACGAGCUUUGUUUAUAGCACAAGUGAAACUCCACUUUAUUGAACGAUGGGGUCUCAAAUGGGCUGCCUCUUUGCCACUCUUUUGGUAGUAUCAGUCUCUCUUAGCUACUUGCCGUUAGAAGCCUCCGCAAACAAAUACUACUACACAUCUCCUCCCCCUCCCAAAUACAAGUCUCCACCACCACCCCCGCCACCGGUUCACAAUUCUCCACCACCACCCCCGGUUUACCUGCCCCCGCCACCUCCUCCACCAGUCUACGUGCCUGCUCCGGCACCAACUCCAAUUUUCCCUUCUCCGCCACCUCCUGUCCCCAAGUCCCCACCACCACCUCACCCUUACAUCUAUGCAUCUCCCCCUCCUCCUUACUACUACUAGAAAGUGGCCAUGAAUAGCUCAUGCUUUUAUGGUAAUCUCAUUUAUUUUUAAAACUGUACAUGUAAAGACUAGUAGUUCAGAAUUACAUUAAGCAUUUCAAUUUUAAGCACCGUGUUCUGUUUAAUUGCGUUCCUAUUGAUUAAGUGACAAAUAAAAGAGAUUGAUUAAUUUGUUCUUGUAGGAGAGGCGAAUGGUUUCCGAAUAAAGAAAGCAAGGGUUUGAUGGAAGGCUUACUUGGAGCAAGAGAGCGAUCAAUCGAGUUGCUGCGUUUUAUUCUCUUUUAUCUUUGUUUUUUAAGAAAAAUAAACUGCCACACGUAGAAACAGAAAAUUAAGUUCUUGUCAUUUUCAUGCAUAUGGAUUGUUGCUGUGUGUGUCAAUCAAAUCUCCGUUGUGUCAUUUGUAAUUUUCAACCUUUAUGCAUGCAAAUGCGAGACCUCUUACGUAUAAUAAAAUUAAUAUACUUCCAAAGAUGGUCUUAUCUUGCGUUGACUUUUUACGUUCCUUUGGUGAUGAUUUUGACGUUUGAAAUUGAUGACUAUUGUUUUUGUAAACUCUGACAUGGAUUUUUCGUGCAACUACAGAGCGCAUUAACGAGAGACUUAUCCAUGAGGGUCCAUGCAGAUCAGUGUCUAAUUAACCAAUAAUUAAUAUAACUUAAAAAAUAUAGAGUUAAUAAUUUUUAUGGGUCAUGCUCAAUUGCAGAUGUUCGUACAAAAUUUCUUGCUAAUGUAUACUUGAGUAUGAUAAUAAGUUUUAAUCAUUAUUAAUAAUUCACUUGAUAAUAUUAAACAAAUUUUCAUAUCAAUUAAGUUACAAAAUUUCUGUGACAAAUUUCCACGUACUGGAACCAUGCAAAAGGGCUUUAUUCAAGCAAAGCUGCAUAGCCGUUGGCAAUUAAAAUUAUUUAUCAAUUAAGUUAAGUAGUAAGAAUUGGAUUGUGGAUUCCAUUAAUUAUUUCAAGGAAAAUUUUAUAGAUAAUGCCGUAAUGAAAUUUACGGCAUCAAUAUCACGAUAAAUAUAAAUAUUGUAAAUUACAAAUAGAAUUAGUAAAUGUAAAGUAAAACCAGUAAAUUCAUAAAAGAUUAUUAAUUAUUUAAAAAAUUAACAUUGUGUUAUGUUUGCAAGUUUUUGUUUUGUUUACUAGUUUUAUGUUAUGUUUGCAAGUUUUUGUUUUGUUUACUAGUAAUAGAUUAAUGGGUAAUUUUUAAUUGAGUCCUCAUUAGUUCUAGAAAAACAAUUCAGAGACCAGAAGUUUACUAAAUGAAUCAAUUAAAUUCUUUCAAGUACAAACUAAUGUCAUUCAAGUCCUUAACUUAAUUGGUCAGUUAAAAAUAUUAACAACGUCGAGGACAUUUUAGUAAAACAACAAUUGAGUCGUUUCUCAUUCUUUAUUUUUGACAGGUGGAAAUAGUUUAAAGUAAACUCACUUAACCUGAUUAAGUUAAGGAUCAGUUCUUUCAAAUGAAAAAAAAAAAAAAAAAAAACCUACAGAAACUGCCAUAUUCUUCGUGUGGGAGGAGAGAUCGAGAGAACGUGGGAUGGUGCAAAAAAUGUUGUAUAAAUCUACUGUGAUUUUGACCAAAGCUUUGGUAGCAUUGAUUGAGUUCAAGUACUGGAGAGAACCUGAGUUUAAAGGUUAGUAACUCUAUUUUUUUAGUGAUUUCUGCAAGCAUUUUCUGAUAAAAAAUUUUCCGUAUUGAGUGAUCGUUGUGAAAAAUUAAGUUUUUCAAGUCUAUUUUACAAAAUGACAAACUAUGUUUAAUUAUUGGUGGAUUCUUUUUUUUGUUCAAUGUUGUAUUUUGUUAAUUUGUUGUUUUUAAUUUGCUCUUAAUGUAAUUGUUAGACCAAAUACACCAUUAUUAUACCUGUAUUCAUUUCAACAAUUUGGUAUCGUUAUAUUAAUAAGAUUGAAUUCAUUGUAUUUGCUUCUUUGUUCAUGUAAAAUUGAAUUCUAUGUAUUCUUAUGAGUGAUAAUUUUUCUAUCUAUUAGACUAAAUUCACUAUAUUCACGACUUUCUUUCUUUUUGCUGGGCUAUUUUUUCUUUUUAGUUUAUAUUUUUUAUAUGUAUUAGAUUGAAUUUGCUUUUGUACGUUUUUUUAGCCGAAUUACAUGUAUAUUUUAUUUAGGUUGAGUUUUUUUGUUGUUUGCUAAAUAAAAUUCUAUUGGUUUAUCAUUUUUUGAUGCAAUACUUUUUGUUUAAAAUUAAUGCAGGUAGCCAUGUUACCUUUUUUUCGGUUAAAAUUAAUUGGGUGAUGUAUGCGAUAUAGGGAACCAGAGGAAUAUAAGAUUAUUAGGUUGUUUCUUGAAAUUCAAGAUGUCAUGGUUGAGCAUGGACACAGUGAAAUGGAUUUGAUUGAAAUUUCUGUUGUAUUGCCAUGGACUACAAGUAGGCAGAGGAAGCUAAUUUCAAACGAUAGUGAAUUGUAUUGGGUUUUCGAGGAGUUUUUUUUUUUUUUUUAUCAAUAGUUGUCCUGUCAUUGAGUUUGAGGUGCACAUUGGGUCAGGUGGUCAGUCAUUUCAUGAAAGUGUUGUAAUAGGACCUGAAAAUCCUGUCAAUAUAGGUGUUAGUGUUAUAAUAGUGAUAAGUUUGAAAAUCCUGUGGCUAAAAAGGGUAUGCCUAGAAUAAUUGGUACUUCUUUAUUUGCCUCAAAGUUCAACACUAUGAAAUCCACCAAGAAAAAGAAUUUAUCCACUUUAACCAGCAAUCUUCAAUCUUGCCUUCAGGAUAAGCAUGAGAUCUGUCAGCACAUUGCAAUGACACUGUGGUUGGUCUGACUUCUCCAACUUCCAAUUGCUUGAAUUCUGAUAAUGUCAUAAGAUUGAUGGCUUGCUCUCAAAUCACAAAGUGUCUUGCCACUGUAUUUAGUUCCUAUGGAACAAGGAAUUGUGAAACUUCCUGGAUCCUUCAACUUCUGAGGCAUUUUACUCUGAAGCAUAUGGCUGCAUUCUUGUGUUAGAGCAACUAUUUCGAAUUCUCCAAGCCUCCACUACUAGAAAAACAGGCUACUAUGACAGAAUUUUUGUGAUAGAUAUCAGAAAAUUAGUCAUUUAUCACAAAAAUAUAACAUACAUGUGAUAGAAUUUUCAUAUAUCAACAAGGCAUGAUAGAUUUGUGAUAGUUUCUUUAUCUGUCACUUGUACAUGAUAGCAUAUUAAUAUAGUAAUGAAACGGUGAGUUUAAGAUUGGCCAAUUUGGGCAUUGAACGACACCGUGUCUUGAAGCCUUUAAAAAAAAUUCUAAGUGUUGGACACUCCUUUGAACUUCACAUAGAAAACCCUAAUUUCUACAUCCAAACUGAAUCACACAAAAAUACACCAUCACACUUGCCGCCAAUAAAUUGUUGUUGUUCGUCUUUGUCGUCAUCUUCAUCCCCACUCCACAGCUUGCUGGCUAUUCCCAUUUCCCUUUUAUAGCUUGAACAACUGAUCUUCUUCAAGUUCGAGCCACUGUUACUGACUUCUUUCGGGAGAGGUAAGUGAUUAAUUCUUUUUUUUUUUUGAAGAGACAACAAUCACCAUAAAUUUCUCAAAAUCCCUAAAAUUAUGCCAAAAAAAGGAAAAAAUAAAGCCGUUCCAUGGCCUUAAAGGACUGACUUCGAGUUCGUGGACUAACGUGCCAACGACUCCGCUUUAUGGCCUUCGUGGAACGAUUCCGUGACACGCGAGUGGCAGCGUGCUAUUUACGUGGAGUCGGAUCGGAGAAGAUUGUACUACGAGGAGUUGGCGAUGUGAGAAAGACAGCGAGUUAGCUACUACGUCUUCGACUUAGGGUAAAAUUUUGGCAGAAUUUGAACUGAAAUUUAGUGGGUUUUGAGUGGUAAGACGAGGUUUUGAGAGAGGAAAAGGAGUGUUUGGCUGGCGAGAAAGUGAGAGAAAGUUUUUGAGUGUGGAGUGAUGGCUUCUCUGUUUUUACUUCUUUAUUGUUCUUUAUUGAGUAGAUGGUGACGAUACAAACUUUUAACAUUGUUUACUUAAUUAAUUGGAUAACAAUCUUACAUGACUAUUUUGAUUUAUCAGAUAAAUCAGUUAGAGAAGAAUGGAGAUGUUGUUGCUCAGGCACGAGCAAUUACAGCAAUCUAGACACUCUGCCCCGUCUUUCUUUCAAUGUUGUUGGCACACUGAAUAAUUUCCUUAGUGACAAGUUAACCAAAUUUAGAGGUAUAUGUGAUUUUGAUUUGACUUACUCUUAAUGAAAUACAAUAAGGAUUUUUUCUGUUGUUUCUAGGCCUUUUGGAGAGUUCGGAUUGAAGCAACGUUUGCCUUAGCUAAUACAACAUCUAAGGUAUUGUUAUUAUUCUCACCUUUAUUUAUUAAAUAUAUUGAGCACAUGGUAGGUCCACCAAAAUGUAUGCAAAAUCUAUUCACCAGAGGUAUUCGCAUAAAGUGAAUUUUUGUGAGAGACUAUUCUUCAACUGUGAAAACUACUUUGGUAGUUCUCAAACCCAUUACAAUUGAUUGGUGCUUGUGUUUUUCUAUUAGAAAGAUAUCUUCUGUAAAAUCUUUGUGAACUACAUUUUUGGAAAUGCAAAUGCUUUGUGUGGUGGUGAUUGUGCUUAUUUGCUUGGUCUUCUAGCAUUUCAGUGAAAUGAUUUAUUUUGACUUGUGCUUAUGACUAACUUGUUGACAGAGAAACUAGGCCAUUUAUGGAUGCACUGAUAUGAAUCCUAUAAUUUUUCUCUUAAUUGACAUGUUGAACUUUUUGGAAGAUAUUUUUUUUUUAUUUGAUUUGUCACAUAUUGUGCUUUAUUAGUUGGAAAUGUUUUGGUUUGUGGACCAUGUUGCACUUACCAGUUCUCAAUAUUGAUAUAUGAUAUAUACACACUAUUGUACUGGAAAUUGAUUGAGUUGGUUUGCUCCAUCUGGUGAAAUUUUAUAAAAGUCGAAGGUUUGAUGAGAAUAUUGGACUCCCCAAGUGAGAAUCUAUCUAAGUUUGAAAUUGUUCUGAUAUCGUUGCUGCAGCACUUUGUUAACGUUUUUGUUUUCUGCUGAUCAUUCCAGGCCAAAUGAUAUCCGUGAUUUUUCAGAGUAUUUGUUCUUGAGGUAAUGCCUUGAGGUAAGGUAUGUAAUGAGUUGUGUGAAGUGGGAUGUGAUAAUAAUUUUGCCCUCGCUUCAUGUGAUGAAAUCCCACAUAAUUUGCCCUUGCUUUAUGUGAUGAAAUCUUUGGGUGGUUUGUUUAUUUAGUGUUUUUCUAUUUCUUUUUAUAUGCUAAUUUUCAUAGUUCUAGAGCAAGUCUUUCUCUAGUCAUUUUGAAAUACUUCCACAUGCUGCUUCUUAAGCCAAGAUUGUCUUGCCCUAAUGAACAAGUUAAAUGGAUUUGCGUUGCUUGGAGUCUCAGUGUAAUAUAUGUGUUUUAGAACUUAGAUUGAUAAACAAAUUUGAACAAAUACAGUGGAAUAAGAAUAAAGAGAAGAUUAAAAAAAAAAGAGUAGAAAUAAAGAAAAGGAUGGUGAAACUUUAGGAGAAUAGGGGAAUCAAGAGAAGAGGAUAGAAUUUUGAUGGAUUUUAUUUAAUUAUGUAACGGAGGUUUUGUGUUGUUAGAUGUUGUGCGUUAAUUAAUUUGUAAUCUUGGAAAAAUACUUUAUCAUGAAUUGGGUUAAUUGUAAGUGGUCAAUACACUAAUAUAUAUUCUUCUAGCACUCAUCUAAAUGUAAUAUGUGUUUCAGGUGAUGUUGGUGGCUCUUGGGAAUUUACUAUCAGUGUUCUUUUUACGAAUUAAUUGUUUUUCUAAUGAUGGGGUAGUGAUUGAAUAUUGUAGAGAAUUUAUGAGUUAUUCUUACGGAUUUGAUUCACCAUGUAUUUUGAUGAUACUAUUUGUUGGAAGUUUCAAGUAAUUGAAAUUUUUAGUAUAUGGUGAUAUUUGGUAUUUGAUAGUUUUUAUGAAUUUGAAUGUAAUUUUUAUUUCAGUUAAUUCAAAUUUUAAAAUGUGGGUUUUGUUAUUUCUAUUUCAAAAUUCUGGAAUUUAAAUAAUAUUAAUUAGUAUUAUUAUAAUUUCAAAAUUAAAAAUAAUAAUUUUAUUUUUUUAAACCUUAAAUCUCAUGACAGAGAAUGUGAAUCAUUAAUAUAUGAAAGAUUUUGAAAAAGCCCACCAAAUUCAAUAUAAUUUAAAUUACCUGCUAAAAUUUCCAAUUAAUUCUCAAAAGCCUUGCAAAACGACGUCGCUUGGUUCGUGACAUAUGCGUGAUAGAUAUACACUGUCACAGAAACAUGUGAUAGAUAAAAUGUUGUCAUAGAUUUAUGAAAGGGGCUACAAUGACAGAUGGAAACUCUGUCAUAAGAGGGGUCGGAUGACAGAUAUUCUCUGUCAUGAUAGCCCAUUUUUCUAGUAGUGCUCAUUUUCCUUGCCAAUAUACAUUUCCAAAACUUUACAUAAUUUGGCAUUUGUUCCAAUGCUUCCACAAAAGGAAUGUUGAUAUGCAGUUGUUUCAAUACUUCCACCACCUGUCCCCAAGUUCCCACCACCACCUCACCCUUGCGUCUAUGCAUCUCCCCCUCCUCCUUACUACUACUAGAAAGCGGCCAUGAAUAGCUCAUGCUUUU
rnacentral:lncRNA from 1 species